CAAUCAAACCGGGAGAUAGCUGGUUCUCCCCGAAAGCUAUUUAGGUAGCGCCUCGUGAAUUCAUCUCCGGGGGUAGAGCACUGUUUCGGCUAGGGGGCCAUCCCGGCUUACCAACCCGAUGCAAACUGCGAAUACCGGAGAAUGUUAUCACGGGAGACACACGGCGGGUGCUAACGUCCGUCGUGAAGAGGGAAACAACCCAGACCGCCAGCUAAGGUCCCAAAGUCAUGGUUAAGUGGGAAACGAUGUGGGAAGGCCCAGACAGCCAGGAUGUUGGCUUAGAAGCAGCCAUCAUUUAAAGAAAGCGUAAUAGCUCACUGGUCGAGUCGGCCUGCGCGGAAGAUGUAACGGGGCUAAACCAUGCACCGAAGCUGCGGCAGCGAACGUAUCACCCAAGACAACUUUACGGAGUUGACGAUUGACGGAGCGAAGCGACGUCAAAGCGUUCAUUAAAGUCGAGUUGGCUUAGGGAUACGUUCGUUGGGUAGGGGAGCGUUCUGUAAGCCUGUGAAGGUGUGUCGUGAGGCAUGCUGGAGGUAUCAGAAGUGCGAAUGCUGACAUAAGUAACGAUAAAGCGGGUGAAAAGCCCGCUCGCCGGAAGACCAAGGGUUCCUGUCCAACGUUAAUCGGGGCAGGGUGAGUCGACCCCUAAGGCGAGGCCGAAAGGCGUAGUCGAUGGGAAACGGGUUAAUAUUCCCGUACUUGGUGUUACUGCGAAGGGGGGACGGAGAAGGCUAUGUUGGCCGGGCGACGGUUGUCCCGGUUUAAGCGUGUAGGUGUGUGUUCCAGGUAAAUCCGGUUCACUUUAACACUGAGGCGUGACGACGAGGCACUACGGUGCUGAAGCAACAAAUGC
rnacentral:rRNA from 1 species